UGGGACGCAGGGGGGCGACCUGAGCUCCUCACCAAGCCCUAGUUCAUCACAUAUUUCACAAAAUUGAGGGCUCAAAUCAAGCUGAAAUCGAAAAUCGAGCAUAGAUUAUUGAUCCUCAUCACAAGAGGAUUUCAAGUUGGCGCUUAAACAAGCCAGGUGAAGCUUGGAGUGAAAGCGGGUCAAACGAGUCAAGCAUAGAAGAAAAGCGUAGCUCGGAUGCAAGGUGAAUGUCGAGAGUGCACGGAUGAAGAUCAAGCGUCGAGCAAGAACCGAACACGAUUACGAAAUAAGCUUCCGCACUAUGUAUCGUUAUUAUGUUAA
rnacentral:lncRNA from 1 species